AGGUGCGAUCUUACAAGCACUACUGUAUCUAUCAAAAUUUCGCAAUUAAGCAUGUGUGGGUGAGAGUAGUACUAGGAUGGGUGACCUCAUGGGAAAACCUCGUGUUGCAAUUU
rnacentral:rRNA from 1 species